AACUUUCAGCACGGAUCUCUUGCUCUC
rnacentral:rRNA from 1 species